CUAUACUACAAUCACGAAAAUGAUUCGGGGGCGCUGCCAUUUUUCCGACCGGUCUCCCGUCUCCAUCGCGCCUGUUGGCUGCGGGGGAUGCGGAACGGGGCCCGGCUAUUUCCACCCUAUUUCCCAGAAUUCCUUUCCCCAUUGAGCCGGCCGCCAUCUUGCGUACGGGCCGGAUAAUUGACGUGCCACGUUCGUUUAUGAGCAUGCAGCGUACGGGCCGGAUAAUUGACGUGCCACGUAUACAUGUACGUUCGUUGUGAGCAUGCAGCGCAUGCAACAGCACAGCAUUGCUGACAUGGUUGAUGUAUCUGUUCCUCCUUGCUCCAGUUUUCUCUUUGAACGGACUCCCGAUGACACCCACAUCACAUGACCAGCUCCAAGCAUGCUCCAGUGCAUGCUUCAACCAGUUCCUAAAGCAAGAAUCUCAACUCAAGACGAAGACACCUAUUCCUUCCAGUUCAACUGCAAGAUUCCUGCUUUUUCUCUUUACCCAUUCAAAACACAUUUUCCUUCUAGCCAUAAUUUUAUUUUUAGAAGUCA